CUUUUUCAACUUUCAGUUUUAUUACUUAGCUCAUUCACAGUAGUUCUUAGCCAGGAGGAAGGCAUUGCGGGUUGGUUUAUAGACAAACAUCAUGACCACCUUUCACCAGCUGAAGCCCCUAAAGCUCACAAAGGCCACCACCACCCCAAACAUUCCCCAGCCCCUUCACCAACUAAGCCUCCCACUUACAGCCCAUCAAAACCACCAGUCAAACCACCGGUUAAACCACCAACUAAACCUCCCACUUACAGCCCAUCAAAACCACCAGUUAAACCACCGGUUAAACCACCAACUAAGCCUCCCACUUAUAGUCCAUCAAAACCACCAGCUAAGGCUCCAGUUAAACCACCAAGACCAUCACCUUAUCCUGCUCCUGCUCCUAUUACUA
rnacentral:lncRNA from 1 species